GUGGGGAAUAUUGGACAAUGGGCGCAAGCCUGAUCCAGCCAUGCCGCGUGAGUGAUGAAGGCCCUAGGGUUGUAAAGCUCUUUCACCGGUGAAGAUAAUGACGGUAACCGGAGAAGAAGCCCCGGCUAACUUCGUGCCAGCAGCCGCGGUAAUACGAAGGGGGCUAGCGUUGUUCGGAAUUACUGGGCGUAAAGCGCACGUAGGCGGACAUUUAAGUCAGGGGUGAAAUCCCGGGGCUCAACCCCGGAACUGCCUUUGAUACUGGGUGUCUGGAGUAUGGAAGAGGUAAGUGGAAUUCCGAGUGUAGAGGUGAAAUUCGUAGAUAUUCGGAGGAACACCAGUGGCGAAGGCGGCUUACUGGUCCAUUACUGACGCUGAGGUGCGAAAGCGUGGGGAGCAAACAGGAUUAGAUACCCCGGUAGUCC
rnacentral:rRNA from 1 species